ACACAAGGAAGGAGGUGGUCCGAGAAAUUGAUAGCUUCAUGGACAUGUGAGGUGGCUGCGCGCUAGCUGCAUCGGCUCGGAAGAGCUGGCGAUACAGAUGCGCUGGCGAAUUCCCCGCAGUCACCCGGCCCCCGAGCUUCCGGUUUUGUCCGACCUGGAAUACGGCUCGGGGGCCGCUCCAU
rnacentral:sRNA from 23 species